CUAUAGCAAAAAACCUCUCUAAAAGAAAAUAUCCAUCUACUAAGGACCAAGGGUCUAGGAGAAUGCCUUCUAGAAGGAAGAUACUACAUUAUAAGGAACUCAGAUGGUCUGGCCUGGUUUCAAACUCUACUGGAACUGCAAACAGACUCGAGAUCUUGUGGCCAAGGAGCUCCUAGAGCCCUGGGGCACUUCCUAUCCGUCCCCCAACACCGUCUAGGACUUUUAAGACUGGGAGCGGGUGUUUCGAUCCGCGGGCAAAGCUUCUUCAAUCGGCGCCUGGGACACGCGUGUCUUAUUCUGGCAGCAGCCUGGGGAACCUUCCCGCCAAACGAAUGCCGACCUUUCUGCAAAGUGUUUUGAAAUCUUCCAAUAAAAACCCAAAUCCUACCAACCACCUCGGGGGCAAAGGGGAUGCGUGACACGGUCAUCAUCGGUGGCUGAGGUGCCUACGUCAGCCAACGCGUUGCUCAUUUAUGCUUUUUCCGCCAAGUGCACAGUUCAAUCCUUCUUGUGCACCCGCGAAAAAGGCAGCUCAAGGAAAAACAAAGCUCGGAGAAAUUUUAAAAUGUGACCUCAGUUUCAAAGAGUAGCACAGAACAAGGGGAAGCACGGAAAACCGUGUUUUCCUCGAAUUGCCAAAAAGCUACCCCUCCGUCACGCCUUGCCUCAGACAAAAAAAAAAAUAAAAAACAAAAACUACGCAGUUAGUCACUGAGUUACUUUCACCGAUAUCUGAGAAUUUUUCACUAAAAGGAAAAGUGAACAAGUGGCAGGAUUUUCGCAAAUUCGGGUCCCCAGCUUCCGCGGCGGCACGCUCGCCGGUCCCUCCCGCUCGUGCGCGCCCGCGCGUUCCCUAGCCAGCCCCACGUUACUUUGAUUGACAGGCCGGCCCCGCCGCUCUCCUUCCAACCGACCUUCCCAUCCUCGGUGCCAAUCUCCGCGUCUCGCCGCUUCCCAUUGGCUGGUUUUGGAGUCGCGCGGCUCCUCCAGGAACAGUUCCUCACCGAGCCCGGGAGGACGCGGCUGGUGGAGGAGGGGGGUGAAGAGGGGGAGACAGGGGAGACGGGGGAGAUGGAAGCUAGCGGGGUGGGAGAGGAGAUGGGAGGGGGAACAGCUUGUCCGGCGCUGC